UACUCUUUGCAACUGCAGUUCUCUGCUUGCAUAAACGUAUCCCAAGCUAGGACGGGGAAGCUGGCCAUCCUACAGCUGAAGCUGGGAUGGUUUGUAGCUUUACCAGAUUCAUGAGGUGUUAGAAAUGGCUUCUUUUAAAUGCCAAGGCUGGUGUAAAUUGUAGGCUCUGAACCCUGUGCACACAGAGACUCAGUCACUGUGAUGAGAGUGACUGGUGAGUGGAAGAACCCUUUUCCUGGUCCUCUUUGUAGCUUGGAGUUUUUUCCUGGAAAGAAAUUGUGGCUUCAGGGUGACCAUGGCCUGGAAAUCAGCAGUCAGUCCCUAUUUGUUUUUAAAUAGAAGACUUUCAGGAUCAAACCUGAGAGCUUCUUUGAAAAAGACUUGCAGACUGAUCACCCUCUAACAGUUCUCCCUUCAAUACUCACUGCCCUGCUGGUACUGGGUUCUGUUGGAUGCAUCUGCUGUGGGGCAUGAUCCAUCUCAGGGGUACCCUGGACACCCAGGCAGAUUGCCAUGGGAAUUUUGAACACCUGAGCAGAUAAUAUGAUGUCCCUCCAUGGAAUAAAGAAUUGCUAUAAAAAGCUGGACUAUGUGAAAGGGUAGGGGGAGCAAAGUGAGAGACAUUCACAAUGAUGGUAUUGCUAAGAAAUUGGGAUGGUGCAUUUCCUACUUGUUGGAUUUUUCUAGUAAAUGCAGCUUCUUUGUAUACUGAAACAGUACGAUCUUGAAAAUAUUACUUGGUACUCAUUUUGAAAAAUAUUACCUUAUCUUUUUCAAGUUUUGGGUCAUUACCCAGGACAGAUACAAUAUGUUUGGUCAGGCAAAUGUCAGCUGGACAGCCAUAGUAUCAUAAAGGCAGGCACUGCUUCCAUAGUAGCAGUGAGUGCUGCUGGAAGUUCCUAGGUCCUCUUUCACCUUUGGUGAAAUCUUUGCUUCCAAAUCUUCUGCAAUUAGUUUGUAUGGUUGUUUUAUAUUACAAAAAAGAAAUACAGUAAAAGAACUACCAAUAAAAAGUUACUCUUAAUGUGUAAUUUCUUAUGUAAAGAUGCCGGGGUACUUGGAGUAUUGGUGGUAAGCAUCUCCACAGUGUUUUUUGUAGU